rnacentral:rRNA from 1 species
CCUACGGGAGGCAGCAGUGGGGAAUAUUGGACAAUGGGGGCAACCCUGAUCCAGCAAUACCGCGUGUGUGAAGAAGGCCUGCGGGUUGUAAAGCACUUUCAAUUGUGAAGAAAAGAUUUAGGUUAAUAACCUGAGUCCUUGACGUUAACUUUAGAAGAAGCACCGGCUAACUCCGUGCCAGCAGCCGCGGUAAU